rnacentral:rRNA from 1 species
AGAGUUUGAUCAUGGCUCAGAACGAACGCUGGCGGCGCGCUUAACACAUGCAAGUCGAACGAGAAGGCGGGGCAACCCGCUUGUACAGUGGCGAACGGGUGAAGAAUACAUGGGUGACCUACCCUCGAGUGGGGAAUAACCAGCCGAAAGGUUGGCUAAUGCCGCGUACGCUUCUAUCCUCGCGGGGAUGGAAGGAAAGCUGUACCGUGGGUACGGCGCUCAAGGAUGGGCUCAUGUCCUAUCAGCUUGUUGGUAGGGUAACGGCCUACCAAGGCAACGACGGGUAGCUGGUCUGAGAGGACGAUCAGCCACACUGGCACUGCGACACGGGCCAGACUCCUACGGGAGGCAGCAGUGAGGAAUAUUGCGCAAUGGGCGACAGCCUGACGCAGCGACGCCGCGUGGGGGAUGAAGGUCUUCGGAUUGUAAACCCCUUUCGGGAGGGAAGAUGGAACAGGCAACUGUUCGGACGGUACCUCCAGAAGCAGCCACGGCUAACUUCGUGCCAGCAGCCGCGGUAAUACGAAGGUGGCAAGCGUUGUUCGGAUUUACUGGGCGUAAAGGGAGCGUAGGCGGUUUGGUAAGCCCUUUGGGAAAUCUUCCGGCUUAACCGGGAAAGGUCAGAGGGGACUGCCUGACUAGAGGACGGGAGAGGAGCGCGGAAUUCCCGGUGUAGCGGUGGAAUGCGUAGAGAUCCGGAAGAACACCAGAGGCGAAGGCGGCUCGCUGGGCUUGGUCUGACGCUGAGGCGCGAAAGCGUGGGGAGCGAACAGGAUUAGAUACCCCCGUAGUCC